UCCUGGCUCAGAUUGAACGCUAGCGGGAUGCCUUACACAUGCAAGUCGAACGGCAGCACGGACUUCGGUCUGGUGGCGAGUGGCGAACGGGUGAGUAAUGUAUCGGAACGUGCCUAGUAGCGGGGGAUAACUACGCGAAAGCGUAGCUAAUACCGCAUACGCCCUACGGGGGAAAGCAGGGGAUCGCAAGACCUUGCACUAUUAGAGCGGCCGAUAUCGGAUUAGCUAGUUGGUGGGGUAACGGCUCACCAAGGCGACGAUCCGUAGCUGGUUUGAGAGGACGACCAGCCACACUGGGACUGAGACACGGCCCAGACUCCUACGGGAGGCAGCAGUGGGGAAUUUUGGACAAUGGGGGAAACCCUGAUCCAGCCAUCCCGCGUGUGCGAUGAAGGCCUUCGGGUUGUAAAGCACUUUUGGCAGGAAAGAAACGUCAUGGGCUAAUACCCCGUGAAACUGACGGUACCUGCAGAAUAAGCACCGGCUAACUACGUGCCAGCAGCCGCGGUAAUACGUAGGGUGCAAGCGUUAAUCGGAAUUACUGGGCGUAAAGCGUGCGCAGGCGGUUCGGAAAGAAAGAUGUGAAAUCCCAGAGCUUAACUUUGGAACUGCAUUUUUAACUACCGAGCUAGAGUGUGUCAGAGGGAGGUGGAAUUCCGCGUGUAGCAGUGAAAUGCGUAGAU
rnacentral:rRNA from 1 species